UACGUAGGUCCCGAGCGUUGUCCGGAUUUGUUGGGCGUAAAGCGAGCGCAGGUGGUUCAUUAAGUCUGGUGUAAAAGGCAGUGGCUCAACCAUUGUAUGCAUUGGAAACUGGUAGACUUGAGUGCAGGAGAGGAGAGUGGAAUUCCAUGUGUAGCGGUAAAAUGCGUAGAUAUAUGGAGGAACACCGGUGGCGAAAGCGGCUCUCUGGCCUGUAACUGACACUGAGGCUCGAAAGCGUGGGGAGCAAACAGG
rnacentral:rRNA from 1 species